rnacentral:rRNA from 1 species
AAUAUUGCGCAAUGGGCGAAAGCCUGACGCAGCGACGCCGCGUGAGUGAUGAAGGCCUUCGGGUCGUAAAACUCUGUCCUCAGGGAAGAAAAUUUGACGGUACCUGAGAAGGAAGCCCCGGCUAACUACGUUCCAGCAACCGCGGUAAUACGUAGGGGGCGAGCGUUAUCCGGAAUUAUUGGGCGUAAAGGGUGCGUAGGCGGCUUUUUAAGUCAGAUGUGAAAGGCUACGGCUUAAACGUAGUUAGCAUUUGAAACUAAAAGGCUUGAGUGCAGGAGAGGAGAGUGGAAUUCCUAGUGUAGCGGUGAAAUGCGUAGAUAUUAGGAGGAACACCAGUGGCGAAGGCGACUCUCUGGACUGCAACUGACGCUGAGGCACGAAAGCGUGGGGAGCGAACA